AAGGUGAAAUAAUUCCAUUGUCAUCAGUUCUCUCCUAAUGGAGAGCUCUAAGAAAGCAAAAGCAGCAACAAAGGACACUAGUUUAGAGGCUCCAGCAGAUUAGUCAACAUGAAUACAUGUGAGCUGCAAAGAAGCUGUGUUUUCAUUUCUUCUCUCCUUAACUCUCACAGGAAAAUCUCUGAUGUGGGCCGAGUCCAAGAGAAAGUAUGAAAGGCAAGGGAAUUCUGAGACACCCAGUUCAGCUUCAUCAAGUUAACUCAUCACAAUGCCCUCCGCAUCAGAUUAUUUUCUUCCAGGUC